CAGGGCUGAGUUCACCCCGGGGUUGAAAUUUCAACCCUGCUUCAGCUAGCAGGGUUGAAAUUUCAACCCCGGGGUUGAACUCAGCCCUG
rnacentral:miRNA from 1 species